rnacentral:rRNA from 1 species
AUUGAACGCUGGCGGCAGGCCUAACACAUGCAAGUCGAACGAGUGGCGGACGGGUGAGUAAUGUCUGGGAAACUGCCUGAUGGAGGGGGUUAACUACUGGAAACGGUAGCUAAUAACGCAUACCAUCGGAUGUGCCCAGAUUGGAUUAGCUAGUAGGUGGGGUAACGGCUCACAUGGGCGACGAUCCCUAGCUGGUCUGAGAGGAUGACAAGCCAAACUGGAACUGAGACACGGUCAAGACGCCUACGGGAGUCAGCAGGGGGGAAUAUUGCACAAUGGGCGCAAGGGUGAUGCAGCCAUGCCGCGUGUAUGAAGAAGGCCUGCGGGUUGUAAAGUACUUUCAGCGGGGAGGCGUUACCCGCAGAAGAAGCACCGGCUAACUCCGUGCCAGCAGCCGCGGUAAUAC